GUCUACGGCCAUGCCACCCUGAAUGAGCCUGAUUCUGUCUGAUCUCGGAAGCUAAGCAGGGUCGGGCCUGGUUAGUACUUGGAUGGGAGACCACCUAGGAAGACCAGGUGCUAUAGGCG
rnacentral:rRNA from 1 species